rnacentral:rRNA from 1 species
UUAUGGUUUUAUAUAUAUAUACAUAUAUAUAUAUAUAUAUAUAUAUAUAUAUGUAUAUAUAUAUAUAUUAUUUUUUUUAAUUGGGGUAGCCCUCAAAAUAUUGGGACAUAUAAAAAAAGACAACUCUGUUCCGCAGAGUAGCUGUUGACAUUAUAGUUGCGCAGAAACUUUGUUGACUCUAGAGAACCUCGGGCAAAUCGCACUUCCCCGUGGCGGCGACUUUGCAUGUGGAUGUCAUCCAUAUCAACUUUCGAUGCCAGUUUCUGCGCCUAGCAUGGUGACCACGGGUAACGGGGAAUCAGGGUUCCAUUCCGCACAGGGACCCUGAGAAAUGGCUACCACAUGCAAAGAAGGCAGCAGGCGCGCAAAUGACCCACUCCCGACGCGGGAAGGUAGUGAUGA